rnacentral:rRNA from 1 species
GAUGAACGCUGGCGGCGUGCCUAAUACAUGCAAGUCGAGCGGUAAGGCCUCUUCGGAGGUACACGAGCGGCGGACGGCUGAGUAACGCGUAGGAACGUACCCCAAAGUGAGGGAUAACUGCUCGAAAGAGUAGCUAAUACCGCAUGUGCUCUCAGGAGUAGAGCUUUAUGCGCUUUGGGAACGGCCUGCGUAAGAUUAGCUUGUUGGUAAGGUAAUGGCUUACCAAGGCGACGAUCUUUAGCUGGUCUGAGAGGAUGAUCAGCCAGACUGGGACUGAGACACGGCCCAGACUCCUACGGGAGGCAGCAGUAGGGAAUUUUCCACAAUGGGCGAAAGCCUGAUGGAGCAACGCCGCGUGCAGGAUGAAUGCCUUCGGGUUGUAAACUGCUUUUAUGAGCGAAGAAUAUGACGGUAACUCAUGAAUAAGGAUCGGCUAACUCCGCGUCAGCAGCCGCGGUAAGAC